rnacentral:lncRNA from 1 species
GUGUGUGUGGUAGUGUGUAUUGUCAUGUGCAUGGUAGUGUGUGUGUGUGUGUGGUAAUGUGUGGUAGUGUGUAUGGUAGUGUGUGUGGUAGUGUGUAUGGUAGUGUGUAUGGUAGUGUGUGGCAUUGUGUAUGGUAGUGUGUGUGGUAGUGUGUGUGUGUGGUAGUGUGCAUGGUAGUGUGUGGCAGUGUGUAUGGUAGUGUGUGUGGUAGUGUGUGUGGUAGUGUGUGUGGUAGUGUGUGGUAGUGUGUAUGGUAGUGUGUGUGGCAGUGUAUAUGGUAGUGUGUGGUAGUGUGUGUGGUAGUGUGUGUGGUAGUGUGUAUGGUAAUGUGUGUGUGGUAGUGUGUAUUGUCAUGUGCAUGGUAGUGUGUGUGUGUGUGUGUGUGGUAAUGUGUGGUAGUGUGUAUGGUAGUGUGUGUGGUAGUGUGUAUGGUAGUGUGUAUGGUAGUGUGUGGCAGUGUGUAUGGUAGUGUGUGUGGUAGUGUGUGUGUGUGUGUGUAUGGUAAUCUGUGUGGUAGUGUGUGGUAGUGUGUAUGGUAGUGUGUAUGGUAAUGUGUGUGUGGUAGUGUGUAUUGUCAUGUGCAUGGUAGUGUGUGUGUGUGUGUGGUAAUGUGUGGUAGUGUGUGUGGUAGUGUGUGUGGUAGUGUGUAUGGUAGUGUAUGGUAGUGUGUGUGGUAGUGUGUAUAGUAGUGUGUGUGUGUGUGGUAGUGUGUAUGGUAGUGUGUGUGUGGUAGUGUGUAUGGUAGUGUAUGGUAGUGUGUGUGGUAGUGUGAAUAGUAGUGUGUGUGUGUGUGUGGUAGUGUGUGUGGUGGUGUACAGUAGAGUGUGUUGUAGUGUGUGUGGUAGUGUAUAUGGUAGUGUAUGGUAGUGUGUGUUGUAGUGUGUGUGGUAGUGUGUAUGGUAGAGUAUGGUAGUGUGGGUUGUAGUGUGUGUGGUAGUGUACAGUAGUGUGUGUUGUAGUGUGUGUGGUAGUGUGUAUGGUAGUGUGUGUGGUAGUGUGUGUGGUAGUGUGUGUGGUAGUGUGUAUGGUAGUGUGUAUGGUAAUGUGUGUGUGGUAGUGUGUAUUGUCAUGUGCAUGGUAGUGUGUGUGUGUGUGUGUGGUAAUGUGUGGUAGUGUGUAUGGUAGUGUGUGUGGUAGUGUGUAUGGUAGUGUGUAUGGUAGUGUGUGGCAGUGUGUAUGGUAGUGUGUGUGGUAGUGUGUGUGUGUGGUAGUGUGUAUGGUAGUGUGUGGCAGUGUGUAUGGUAGUGUGUGUGGUAGUGUGUGUGGUAGUUUGUGGUAGUGUGUAUGGUAGUGUGUGUGGCAGUGUGUAUGGUAGUGUGUGUUAGUGUGUGUGGUAGUGUGUAUGGUAGUGUGUAUGGUAAUGUGUGUGUGGUAGUGUGUAUUGUCAUGUGCAUGGUAGUGUGUGUGUGUGUGUGGUAAUGUGUGGUAGUGUGUGUGGUAGUGUGUGUGGUAGUGUGUAUAGUAGUGUGUGUGUGUGUGGUAGUGUGUAUGGUAGUGUGUGUGUGGUAGUGUGUAUGGUAGUGUAUGGUAGUGUGUGUGGUAGUGUGAAUAGUAGUGUGUGUGUGUGUGUGGUAGUGUGUGUGGUGGUGUACAGUAGAGUAUGUUGUAGUGUGUGUGGUAGUGUGUAUGGUAGUGUAUGGUAGUGUGUGUUGUAGUGUGUGUGGUAGUGUGUAUGGUAGAGUAUGGUAGUGUGGGUUGUAGUGUGUGUGGUAGCGUACAGUAGUGUGUGUUGUAGUGUGUGUGGUAGUGUGUAUGGUAGUGUAUGGUAGUGUAUGGUAGUGUGGGUUGUAGUGUGUGUGGUAGUGUACAGUAGAGUGUGCUGUAUGUUUGUUUGUGUGUUAAGGUGUGUCCUUAUGUGUGUCAGAAGAACAUGUGUACCAGGAGUGGGAGUAAGGUAGUAGAGAAUGACAGGUGUGUGUUAGAGAGGUGUGCAUGUAUAGGAAGGAAAUGUGUGUGUGUGUGUGUGUGUGUGUGUGUGUGUGUGUGUGUGUGUGUGUGUG